rnacentral:rRNA from 1 species
UACGUAGGGGGCUAGCGUUGUCCGGAAUCAUUGAGCGUAAAGCGCGCGUAGGCGGCCAGAUAAGUCCGGUGUGAAAGCCACAGGCUCAACCUGUGAAUGCCGCUGGAAACUGUCUGGCUAGAGUCCGGGAGGGGCGAGUGGAAUUCCUAGUGUAGAGGUGAAAUUCGUAGAUAUUAGGAAGAACACCAGUGGCGAAGGCGGCUCACUGGCCCGGUACUGACGCUGAGGCGCGAAAGCGUGGGGAGCAAACAGG